rnacentral:tRNA from 1 species
GGCCUCUUCGUCUAGCGGUUAGGACACCUCCCUUUCACGGAGGUAACACGGGUUCGAUUCCCGUAGAGGUCACCA